AGAGUUUGAUCAUGGCUCAGGAUGAACGCUGGCGGUAUGCCUUAUACAUGCAAGUCGUACGAGAGUUUUUAACUCUAGUGGCGGACGGGUGAGUAACACGUAAGAAUUUGCCUUUAGGAGGGGGACAACAACUGGAAACGGUUGCUAAUACCCCAUAUGCUUUCGAGUGAAAUGGAUUUCCGCCUAAAGAGAAGCUUGCGGCUGAUUAGCUUGUUGGUAGGGUAAUGGCCUACCAAGGCGACGAUCAGUAUCUGGUUUGAGAGGACGAUCAGACACACUGGAACUGAGACACGGUCCAGACUCCUACGGGAGGCAGCAGUAGGGAAUUUUCCGCAAUGGGCGAAAGCCUGACGGAGCAAUACCGCGUGAGGGAUGACUGCCUAUGGGUUGUAAACCUCUUUUUUCAGGGAGGAAUAAAUGACGUGUACCUGAAGAAUAAGCAUCGGCUAACUCCGUGCCAGCAGCCGCGGUAAGACGGAGGAUGCAAGUGUUAUCCGGAAUCACUGGGCGUAAAGCGUCUGUAGGUGGCUCGACAAGUCAACUGUUAAAUCUUGAAGCUCAACUUCGAAAUCGCAGUCGAAACUAUCGAACUAGAGUAUAGUAGAGGUAAAGGGAAUUUCCAGUGGAGCGGUGAAAUGCGUAGAGAUUGGAAAGAACACCGAUGGCGAAGGCACUUUACUGGGCUAUUACUGACACUCAGAGACG
rnacentral:rRNA from 1 species